rnacentral:rRNA from 1 species
UACAGAGGUCUCAAGCGUUGUUCGGAUUCAUUGGGCGUAAAGGGUGCGUAGGCGGCGUGGCAAGUCGGAUGUGAAAUCUCAGGGCUCAACCCUGAAACUGCAUUCGAUACUGCCUUGCUCGAGGACUGGAGAGGAGAUUGGAAUUCACGGUGUAGCAGUGAAAUGCGUAGAUAUCGUGAGGAAGACCAGUGGCGAAGGCGGAUCUCUGGACAGUUCCUGACGCUGAGGCACGAAGGCCAGGGGAGCAAACGGG